UACGGGGGGGGCAAGCGUUGUUCGGAAUUACUGGGCGUAAAGGGUUCGUAGGCGGGAGCGUAAGUUCAGUGUGAAAUCCCCAGGCUUAACCUGGGACGUGCACUGAAGACUGCAUUUCUUGAGUGUUGGAGAGGGUUGUGGAAUUGCUGGUGUAGGAGUGAAAUCCGUAGAGAUCAGCAGGAACACCUGAGGCGAAGGCGACAACCUGGCCAAACACUGACGCUGAGGAACGAAAGCGUGGGGAGCGAACAGG
rnacentral:rRNA from 1 species